GAUGAAGAACGUAGCGAAAUGCGAUAAGUAGUGUGAAUUGCAGAAUUUAGUGAAUCAUCGAAUCUUUGAACGCACAUUGCGCCCCUUGGUAUCCCGAGGGGCAUGCCUGUUCGAGCGUCAUUUCACCACUCAAGCCUGGCUUGGUGUUGGGCGACGUCCCCUUUGGGGACGCGCCUCGAAACGCUCGGCGGCGUGGCACCGGCUUUAAGCGUAGCAGAAUCUUUCGCUUUGGAAGUCGGGGCCCCGUCUGCCGGAAGACCUACUCGCAAGGUUGACCUCGGAUCAGGCAGGGAUACCCGCUGAACUUAAGCAUAUCAAUAAGCGGAGGA
rnacentral:misc_RNA from 1 species